UACAGAGGUGGCAAGCGUUGUUCGGAAUUACUGGGCGUAAAGGGCGCGUAGGCGGUCUUCCAAGUCUUGUGUGAAAUCCCUCGGCUCAACUGAGGAACUGCACGGGAUACUGGAUGACUUGAGUUCGGGAGAGGGAAGCGGAAUUCCGGGUGUAGCGGUGAAAUGCGUAGAUAUCCGGAGGAACACCGGUGGCGAAGGCGGCUUCCUGGACCGAUUACUGACGCUGAGGCGCGAAAGCUAGGGGAGCAAACGGG
rnacentral:rRNA from 1 species